rnacentral:rRNA from 1 species
UACGUAGGGUGCGAGCGUUGUCCGGAAUUAUUGGGCGUAAAGAGCUCGUAGGCGGCUUGUCGCGUCGGAUGUGAAAGCCCGGGGCUUAACCCCGGGUCUGCAUUCGAUACGGGCAGGCUAGAGUGUGGUAGGGGAGAUCGGAAUUCCUGGUGUAGCGGUGAAAUGCGCAGAUAUCAGGAGGAACACCGGUGGCGAAGGCGGUUCUCUGGGAAUAUCCUGACGCUGAGGGGCGAAAGUGUGGGGAGCGAACAGG